AAUAAUAAUAAUAAUAAUAUCUUGGAAAAACAGGGUAUAUAAACCAUUGACUCUUAUUAUUUCACUAAAAUUAGAUUAGGUACUUGCACAAUUCACUGCACAGAGUAAUCCUCCAAUAUGAAAAGAACAUUAAAAAAUA
rnacentral:ribozyme from 13 species